CUGAGCUCCAGAAGACAGAGCAGAAGUGAACAACAGAAAGAUGGCCAUUCUCGGGAUCCUUGAUGAAAAUUGAAGCCACGGAAAAGUGAAGAGAAUCUCUGCAAUAAAGGCAUACCAGACCACCGUGGCUGUUGCAGAACACCCACUGACAUCUGAAAAGCCAUGAUCUAAGGAGGAUACACAUGGCACUGCUGAGUUAGAAC
rnacentral:lncRNA from 1 species